GACGAACCGUACGAACGUUAUUCGGAAUCACUGGGCUUAAAGGGUGCGUAGGCGGCGCGGCAAGUUGGGUGUGAAAUCCCUCGGCUCAACCGAGGAACUGCGCCCAAAACUACCGUGCUUGAGGGAGACAGAGGUGAGCGGAACUAAGGGUGGAGCGGUGAAAUGCGUUGAUAUCCUUAGGAACACCGGUGGCGAAAGCGGCUCACUGGGUCUCUUCUGACGCUGAGGCACGAAAGCUAGGGGAGCAAACGGG
rnacentral:rRNA from 1 species